AUCAGACGAACGCUGGCGGCGUGCCUAAUACAUGCAAGUUGAGCGCUGAAGGUUGGUACUUGUACCGACUGGAUGAGCAGCGAACGGGUGAGUAACGCGUGGGGAAUCUGCCUUUGAGCGGGGGACAACAUUUGGAAACGAAUGCUAAUACCGCAUAAAAACUUUAAACACAAGUUUUAAGUUUGAAAGAUGCAAUUGCAUCACUCAAAGAUGAUCCCGCGUUGUAUUAGCUAGUUGGUGAGGUAAAGGCUCACCAAGGCGAUGAUACAUAGCCGACCUGAGAGGGUGAUCGGCCACAUUGGGACUGAGACACGGCCCAAACUCCUACGGGAGGCAGCAGUAGGGAAUCUUCGGCAAUGGACGAAAGUCUGACCGAGCAACGCCGCGUGAGUGAAGAAGGUUUUCGGAUCGUAAAACUCUGUUGGUAGAGAAGAACGUUGGUGAGAGUGGAAAGCUCAUCAAGUGACGGUAACUACCCAGAAAGGGACGGCUAACUACGUGCCAGCAGCCGCGGUAAUACGUAGGUCCCGAGCGUUGUCCGGAUUUAUUGGGCGUAAAGCGAGCGCAGGUGGUUUAUUAAGUCUGGUGUAAAAGGCAGUGGCUCAACCAUUGUAUGCAUUGGAAACUGGUAGACUUGAGUGCAGGAGAGGAGAGUGGAAUUCCAUGUGUAGCGGUGAAAUGCGUAGAUAUAUGGAGGAACACCGGUGGCGAAAGCGGCUCUCUGGCCUGUAACUGACACUGAGGCUCGAAAGCGUGGGGAGCAAACAGGAUUAGAUACCCUGGUAGUCCACGCCGUAAACGAUGAGUGCUAGAUGUAGGGAGCUAUAAGUUCUCUGUAUCGCAGCUAACGCAAUAAGCACUCCGCCUGGGAUAGCGCUGUGCUGUGUAAUUAAGU
rnacentral:rRNA from 1 species